AGAGUUUGAUCAUGGCUCAGAACGAACGCUGGCGGCAUGCCUAACACAUGCAAGUCGAACGAGACCUUCGGGUCUAGUGGCGCACGGGUGCGUAACGCGUGGGAAUCUGCCCUUUGCUUCGGAAUAACAGUUAGAAAUGACUGCUAAUACCGGAUGAUGUCUUCGGACCAAAGAUUUAUCGGCAAAGGAUGAGCCCGCGUAGGAUUAGGUAGUUGGUGGGGUAAAGGCCUACCAAGCCGACGAUCCUUAGCUGGUCUGAGAGGAUGAUCAGCCACACUGGGACUGAGACACGGCCCAGACUCCUACGGGAGGCAGCAGUGGGGAAUAUUGGACAAUGGGCGCAAGCCUGAUCCAGCAAUGCCGCGUGAGUGAUGAAGGCCUUCGGGUCGUAAAGCUCUUUACCAGGGAUGAUAAUGACAGUACCUGGAGAAUAAGCUCCGGCUAACUCCGUG
rnacentral:rRNA from 1 species